AAUUUUGGACAAUGGGGGAAACCCUGAUCCAGCCAUCCCGCGUGUAUGAUGAAGGCCUNAGGGUCNUNAAGCUCUGUCCUAAGGGNCGAAACGGACGGUACCCUAGGAGGAAGCCCCUGCUAACUACGUGCCAGCAGCCGCUGUAAUACGUAGGGGGCGAGCGUUAUCCGGAAUUAUUGGGCGUAAAGGGUGCGUAGGCGGCCUUUUAAGUCAGAUGUGAAAGGCUACGGCUUAACCGUAGUUAGCAUUUGAAACUAAAAGGCUUGAGUGCAGGAGAGGAGAGUGGAAUUCCUAGUGUAGCGGUGAAAUGCGUAGAUAUUAGGAGGAACACCAGUGGCGAAGGCGACUCUCUGGACUGCAACUGACGCUGAGGCACGAAAGCGUGGGGAGCAAACAG
rnacentral:rRNA from 1 species